AAAGAAUUAGUUAAUUUUAUAACAUUAAUAUGUCAAGUUAAAAUUAUUUUGAUAGAAUAUUCUUUA
rnacentral:tRNA from 1 species